GGUACGUCGCUCGUGGCCUGGGAGGGAGGACGCAGGGGGCGGAGGGUGUCCGUAAGUGUUGGGCGUAACGGUGUUGUAUGCGGGUUGUCGCGGAUGCUGUGAAAAUCCGGCGCUCAACCCCGGGCUUGCAGUGGGUACUGGCAGACUAGAGUAUGGUAGGGGAGACUGGAAUUCCUGGUGUAGCGGUGAAAUGCGCAGAGAUCAGGAGGAACACCGAUGGCGAAGGCAGGUCUCUGGGACACUACUGACGCUGAGAAGCGAAAGCAUGGGGAGCGAACAGGAUUAGAUACCCCAGUAGUC
rnacentral:rRNA from 1 species